rnacentral:rRNA from 1 species
CGCAAGGGGGUCCAGUCGAGGUGCUGCAUGGCUGUCGUCAGCUCGUGUCGUGAGAUGUCGGGUUAAGUCCCGCAACGAGCGCAACCCUCGUCCUGUGUUGCAACCCCGCAAGGGGGCACUCUCAGGAGACCGCCAGCGAUAAGUUGGAGGAAGGUGGGGAUGACGUCAAGUCAUCAUGGCCUUUAUGUCCAGGGCUACACACGUGCUACAAUGGACGGUACAAAGCGCUGCUAAGCCGCGAGGUGGAGCUAAUCGCAAAAAACCGUUCUCAGUUCGGAUCGCAGGCUGCAACUCGCCUGCGUGAAGCUGGAAUCGCUAGUAAUGGCAUAUCAGAACGAUGCCGUGAAUACGUUCCCGGGCCUUGUACACACCGCCCGUCACAUCACGAAAGUGGAUUGUACUAGAAGUCCGCGCACUAACCCGCAAGGGAGGUAGCGGCCCAAGGUAUGAUUCAUGAUUGGGGUGAAGUCGUAACAAGGUAACC